GGCGAGCGGCGAACGGGUGAGUAACAUAUCGGAACGUACCCCGUCGUGGGGGAUAACACAGCGAAAGCUGUGCUAAUACCGCAUACGACCUGAGGGUGAAAGCGGGGGAUCGCAAGACCUCGCGCGAUGGGAGCGGCCGAUAUCGGAUUAGCUUGUUGGUGAGGUAAAGGCUCACCAAGGCGACGAUCCGUAGCUGGUCUGAGAGGACGACCAGCCACACUGGAACUGAGACACGGUCCAGGACUCCUACGGGGGGGCAGCAGUGGGGAAUUUUGGACAAUGGGGCAACCCUGAUCCAGCCAUUCCGCGUGAGUGAAGAAGGCCUUCGGGUUGUAAAGCUCUUUCAGCAGGAACGAAACGGUGGCCAUUAAUACUGGCUACUAAUGACGGUACCUGAAGAAGAAGCACCGGCUAACUACGUG
rnacentral:rRNA from 1 species